rnacentral:rRNA from 1 species
GAUGAACGCUGGCGGCGUGCCUAAUACAUGCAAGUCGAGCGAACGGACGAGAAGCUUGCUUCUCUGAUGUUAGCGGCGGACGGGUGAGUAACACGUGGAUAACCUACCUAUAAGACUGGGAUAACUUCGGGAAACCGGAGCUAAUACCGGAUAAUAUUUUGAACCGCAUGGUUCAAAAGUGAAAGACGGUCUUGCUGUCACUUAUAGAUGGAUCCGCGCUGCAUUAGCUAGUUGGUAAGGUAACGGCUUACCAAGGCAACGAUGCAUAGCCGACCUGAGAGGGUGAUCGGCCACACUGGAACUGAGACACGGUCCAGACUCCUACGGGAGGCAGCAGUAGGGAAUCUUCCGCAAUGGGCGAAAGCCUGACGGAGCAACGCCGCGUGAGUGAUGAAGGUCUUCGGAUCGUAAAACUCUGUUAUUAGGGAAGAACAUAUGUGUAAGUAACUGUGCACAUCUUGACGGUACCUAAUCAGAAAGCCACGGCUAACUACGUGCCAGCAGCCGCGGUAAUACGUAGGUGGCAAGCGUUAUCCGGAAUUAUUGGGCGUAAAGCGCGCGUAGGCGGUUUUUUAAGUCUGAUGUGAAAGCCCACGGCUCAACCGUGGAGGGUCAUUGGAAACGUGGAAAACUUGAGUGCAGAAGAGGAAAGUGGAAGUUCCAUGUGUAGCGGUGAAAUGCGCCAGAGAGUAUGGAGGAACACCAGUGGGCGAAGGCGACUGUCUGGUCUGUAACUGACGCUGAUGUGCGAAAGCGUGGGGAUCAAACGGGAUUAGAUACCCUGGUUAGUCCACGCCGUAAACGAUGAGUGCUAAGUGUUAGGGGGUUUCCGCCCCUUAGUGCUGCAGCUAACGCAUUAAGCACUCCGCCUGGGGAGUACGACCGCAAGGUUGAAGCUCAAAGGAAUUGACGGGGACCCGCACAAGCGGUGGAGCAUGUGGUUUAAUUCGAAGCAACGCGAAGAACCUUACCAAAUCUUGACAUCCUUUGACAACUCUAGAGAUAGAGCUUUCCCCUUCGGGGGACAAAGUGACAGGUGGUGCAUGGUUGUCGUCAGCUCGUGUCGUGAGAUGUUGGGUUAAGUCCCGCAACGAGCGCAACCCUUAAGCUUAGUUGCCAUCAUUAAGUUGGGCACUCUAAGUUGACUGCCGGUGACAAACCGGAGGAAGGUGGGGAUGACGUCAAAUCAUCAUGCCCCUUAUGAUUUGGGCUACACACGUGCUACAAUGGACAAUACAAAGGGCAGCGAAACCGCGAGGUCAAGCAAAUCCCAUAAAGUUGUUCUCAGUUCGGAUUGUAGUCUGCAACUCGACUACAUGAAGCUGGAAUCGCUAGUAAUCGUAGAUCAGCAUGCUACGGUGAAUACGUUCCCGGGUCU